UGCGGUGUAGCUCAGCCGGUAGAGCGCGUGAUUGUUAAUCACAGGGUCGCACGUUCGAGCCGUGCCUCCGCAGCCA
rnacentral:tRNA from 1 species